AUGUUGCUGGGAGCACCGCUGGAGCCCUUAGAGGGCAACCUUUGGGCUGGAAGCCGUGCUGUGUCUCCACCUGCAUCUCACAGGCCACAUGGAAAUUGGCUAGUAUGCAGCUCCUUGGCUCCAUUUCUGUCAGACCCUAGAUGUGGCAGUCUCUGUGGGAGAGCUAUGCAAGGUGGGCCAGUUUCUAGAAUCCAGAGUAACUGUUUCUUCUAGAAAGGGAUGUGUUGGAAGUAAACACCAAUAGCAUUGCAUAAACUAUUGGAAGCACAGACGUGUAUGCCUCACCUUAGGAAAACCUGAGGUGGAACCUAUCAAUGUGAAGACACAGUUCUGUGUGGACGUGAUUCUUUAACCUUGUUUAUCAUUGCAUUUAAGACAAUGAAAUGGGAGUUUCCGUUGUGGCUCAGCAGGAAUGAAUCCGACUAGCAUCCACGAGGAUGCAAGUUCGAUCCCUGGCCUUGCUCAGUGGGUUAAGGAGCUGGCGUUGCUGUGAGCUGUGGUGUAGGUCACAGAUGCUGCUUGGAUCCCGUAUUGCUGUGGCUGUGGUGUAGACCAGCAGCUAUAGCUCCAAUUUGACCUGUAGCCUGGAACCUCCAUAUGCUGUGGGUGUGGCCCUAAAAAGACAAAAAAUAAAAAUAAAUAAGUAAAUAAAUAGAUGAGGAGAAUCCACAGAGAGCCCAGAACCUACCAAGGAGCAUACGGGGCCUCAGUGUAAGACAGUAGCAAUAUAAAGUUGUAGGGUAUGAUUCACUAUUUAAAAAAAAAGCAACAUAUUUCUGUGAAAAGCAGUUGUCCAUAAAAAAAAAAAAUAGAUUCCCACCUCAGUUGUUCCCAGAGUCUAGUCUUUUGCACUGAACUGCUCCAGGCCUAUUUUUUCCUCUCAGUUGGAACCCCAGGGCCUGUGGUGCCUACUUGGUGGUCAGUAAAUAUUUGUUCAGUGAUGACAUCAGUCCUGGGAGAUAGGCUGUGGGCUGGAGGAUUCCUGUGUUCUGCUUGUGUCAAG
rnacentral:lncRNA from 9 species